UCCUACGGGAGGCAGCAGUGGGGAAUUUUGGACAAUGGGCGAAAGCCUGAUCCAGCAAUGCCGCGUGUGUGAAGAAGGCCUUCGGGUUGUAAAGCACUUUUGUCCGGAAAGAAAUGGCUCUGGUUAAUACCUGGGGUCGAUGACGGUACCGGAAGAAUAAGGACCGGCUAACUACGUGCCAGCAGCCGCGGUAAUACGUAGGGUCCAAGCGUUAAUCGGAAUUACUGGGCGUAAAGCGUGCGCAGGCGGUUGUGCAAGACCGAUGUGAAAUCCCCGAGCUUAACUUGGGAAUUGCAUUGGUGAAUGCACGGCUAGAGUGUGUCAGAGGGGGGUAGAAUUCCACGUGUAGCAGUGAAAUGCGUAGAGAUGUGGAGGAAUACCGAUGGCGAAGGCAGCCCCCUGGGAUAACACUGACGCUCAUGCACGAAAGCGUGGGGAGCAAACAGGAUUAGAUACCCUGGUAGUCCACGCCCUAAACGAUGUCAACUAGUUGUUGGGGAUUCAUUUCCUUAGUAACGUAGCUAACGCGUGAAGUUGACCGCCUGGGGAGUACGGUCGCAAGAUUAAAACUCAAGAAAUU
rnacentral:rRNA from 1 species